UACGGCCACAUCACAUUCACGUAGCAGUUCCCGUACGAUCAGUGAAGUUAAGCAAUGUCAAGCCCGCUCAGUACUUAUAUGGGUGACCGCUUGGCAAUACUAGGUGCAGUAA